UUGGUGUUUUCAUGGCGUUGAAGAAGAGGGCUGGUCGAGUGUCAGAAUAAAAACCAUCUACUUCCUCUUCCUCAUCACUCCUGCUUCACUGCAGACUCACACAGCAUCUCUGAACCUCCUGACUUGAGCAACAGAUAAAAUGGUUUUCACUGUGCAUUUGAGGGUCCUUCUCCUCGGGAUUGUUUUGCUUUCCUGUAUUCAGAGUGUGGUGAAUCUAGAUGUGGACAUUAACACCCUUUCCAGGAUUCAAAAAUUUGUUCAUUUCAAUUAUUUUAGCGGCGGCCAGUUUGCAGUAGCCAUCAAUGUCCCACAGCGGCAGUGUCAAAGAGGAUUCAACCCCCGAAACAGACCCUUUCUGAUAAAUGACCUAUCAGAAACAGUUAAACUUCACACAGUACCUAACGUGGAUGUCUACAUAGGCACUGAAGUCAUUGCUGCAGGGGUUCAUACAAAUGCACAUUCAGAGCCUUUACUGAUGAAUCCUACAAAUCAUUCUCCUUUGACAGACUUGAUGAAUACAAACAGAGAUGGAUGUGUGGUUUUCUACACCUUAAAUAGUCCCUGUACACAGUUUUGUCUCAAUAACAAUAAUGGUAACAAUAUUUUACCAAGUCUUGAAGAAUUAAAUAGAUAUCAGGGAAUUAAAGCGUUUGUUUUCAAUAAUAUCUACAGUAAUGACCGAAAUUCACCAUAUCUUAGAAAUAGACUACAGCAGAUUGCUGAUCGUGUACCACUUUACCGUUGUAACCGUGACGGUUGUAUCCUUUGUGGACGACCAGGUUCAAACAUACCACUGAAUAACCAAUGUUUAAUUUGAAUUAAACUAGGUCUCACUUGCUCACGCAUGUUGAGUUUCUUGUUUGACAGCGAUGCUUUAAAUGAACCGAUGAGCUAGUUAUCUGCUGAGACUUUUACUUCAAUGCUUAAAUAGACUUUCACAUGCAGCUUUUUCUUUACAAAUUAGUAAACUAUGGCAGGGGAGAGUAAAUGUUUACUUUUCAUUUAAAGAAAUUAUUGCUUUAUGAGUGAUUGUAAUCAUAUAUAGAGACACAACUGGACAUUUGAAAGCCUUGAUAAAGGAAAAAAAUACUAGUAAAUUAAAUCUUUUAUAUUCAGAAACAUCUGGCAUUAUGGCCAGAUAGGUUUAAUGCUGUGUGAACCACAAUGUUUUUUUGUUUUUGUUUUUUUUUUAUUAUUAAAAUGCUUGUUUGUUUAUGCUUAUGCAUUUUUAAUAGUUUCAUAAACACUGCUGGGGAAAUAAAUAAAUUUCUAUGCACCA